rnacentral:piRNA from 1 species
UACAACUAUUCAGCAUGUCUGUUUCCCUGCC